rnacentral:rRNA from 1 species
UACGUAGGGUGCGAGCGUUGUCCGGAAUUAUUGGGCGUAAAGAGCUUGUAGGCGGUUUGUCGCGUCUGCCGUGAAAGCCCAGGGCUUAACCCUGGGUCUGCGGUGGGUACGGGCAGACUAGAGUGUGGUAGGGGAGACUGGAAUUCCUGGUGUAGCGGUGAAAUGCGCAGAUAUCAGGAGGAACACCGAUGGCGAAGGCAGGUCUCUGGGCCGUUACUGACGCUGAGGAGCGAAAGCGUGGGGAGCGAACAGG